rnacentral:lncRNA from 1 species
CUGCACACUGAAAAUAUUCACCUGUUAGGGUAAAUGGCGGGAUUUUUAACAUCCCACUGAGGGAUCUUGAUCUCAGUGUUCCUGUAUAGGACCCGACAUCUGGGCUACCAGAGUCGCCUUGCAGUUCAAAAACGAAUCGGCGACCUCGACAGCUACUGGCCCAUAGCAACUGGUCAUUAGGUAAGCUGAAAGUUUUAAACAGUACUGAAGUUGUUUCAAAUAAAAGUGUAGCGGGAAGUUAUUAGCAAAGAAUUUUAGCCACAUUCAACGGCUGCACGAGUGACGAAACAGCGGUUUCGCUUUUGUAUUUUAGGAGCUAUAAUCGUAACGCCGCUCAACAGUGUUUAUGUACACAAUCAAGGAACGAAUUAUGACAACCGCUCAGAAAAGUUAGUGAACUUCUUUUUCUAACACGAGAUAUGGAAAUACGAAAGUAUGCUGCAUGCGUUGAACACUGCGAAAAACGCCUAAAAAACUAAGGUGCAGCCAUAAUGAACAACACCAGCUAUUCUUAAAACUUCUCAAGUCACACUCCUGUAGGCACCACAGGUCAACAAACCUGAAUCUCAUUCAUUAUUGCAGUUUCCAAUCCACACGUCGUUUCCUUACCGUUUCUUCCACGCUGCUGUAAUACUUUCGAGAUCUUCGUUUCCAAUAGUAGCGCAGAGUUAAGCACGUUGCCACACCCACAAUAACGCAG